AUUGAACGCUGGCGGUAUGCUUAAGACAUGCAAGUCGAACGGUAACAGGUUAAGCUGACGAGUGGCGGACGAGUGAGUAACGCGUGGGAAUCUACCUUGUAGUGGGGGAUAAGCCAGGGAAACUUGGACUAAUACCGCAUACGCCCUAAGGGGGAAAGGCGCAAGUCGCUAUAAGAUGAGCCCGCGUCUGAUUAGGUAGUUGGUGGGGUAAAGGCCUACCAAGCCGACGAUCAGUAGCUGGUCUGAGAGGAUGAUCAGCCACGUCGGGACUGAGACACGGCCCGGACUCCUACGGGAGGCAGGCAGUCGGGAAUAUUGGACAAUGGGGGAAACCCUGAUCCAGCAAUACCGCGUGUGUGAAGAAGGCCUGCGGGUUGUAAAGCACUUUCAGUUGGGAAGAUAAUGACGUUACCAACAGAAGAAGCACCGGCUAACUCCGUG
rnacentral:rRNA from 1 species